CCUACGGGAGGCACCAGUGGGAAUAUUGCACAAUGGGCGCAAGCCUGAUGCAGCCAUGCCGCGUGUAUGAAGAAGGCCCUCGGGUUGUAAAGUACUUUCAGCGAGGAGGAAGGCGUUAAGGUUAAUAACCUUGGCGAUUGACGUUACUCGCAGAAGAAGCACCGGCUAACUCCGUGCCAGCAGCCGCGGUAAUACGGAGGGUGCAAGCGUUAAUCGGAAUUACUGGGCGUAAAGCGCUCGCAGGCGGUCUGUCAAGUCGGAUGUGAAAUCCCCGGGCUUAACCUGGGAACUGCAUUCGAAACUGGCAGGCUAGAGUCUUGUAGAGGGGGGUAGAAUUCCAGGUGUAGCGGUGAGAUGCGUAGAGAUCUGGAGGAAUACCGGUGGCGAAGGCGGCCCCCUGGACAAAGACUGACGCUCAGGUGCGAAAGCGUGGGGAGCAAACAGGAUUAGAUACCCCAGUAGUC
rnacentral:rRNA from 1 species